GCCAAGUACUCUUUUGCUCCUCGUAACAAUUCUAGGGAGAAGGAGAAGGUUCAUAAAAGGAAACUUCAACACCUUGAACACCAACUUUAUGAAACCAUGUGAUAUGAUAAUUGUACAAUAAGAAGCAAAAAGAACAUGCAGGAAAGUGUACCCAAUGCCACAUUACCCUAGACUAAAGGACACACAUAAUUGGCAGCGCUAGCCUUUUCCUUUGUUUUCUUAAAAAAAGGUCUUACUAUGACAUAAAACAGAUUUUCUUAUUCGCUGUUAUAUUCUUUGCCAAUGUUAAUUGAACUUGAAAUGCUUAAAUCAUCA
rnacentral:misc_RNA from 1 species